rnacentral:rRNA from 1 species
ACGGGUGAGUAACGCGUGGGAACGUACCCUUUACUACGGAAUAACGCAUGGAAACGUGUGCUAAUACCGUAUGUGCCCUUCGGGGGAAAGAUUUAUCGGUAAAGGAUCGGCCCGCGUUGGAUUAGCUAGUUGGUGGGGUAAAGGCCUACCAAGGCGACGAUCCAUAGCUGGUCUGAGAGGAUGAUCAGCCACAUUGGGACUGAGACACGGCCCAAACUCCUACGGGAGGCAGCAGUGGGGAAUAUUGGACAAUGGGCGCAAGCCUGAUCCAGCCAUGCCGCGUGAGUGAUGAAGGCCUUAGGGUUGUAAAGCUCUUUCACCGGUGAAGAUAAUGACGGUAACCGGAGAAGAAGCCCCGGCUAACUUCGUGCCAGCAGCCGCGGUAAUACGAAGGGGGCUAGCGUUGUUCGGAUUUACUGGGCGUAAAGCGCACGUAGGCGGAUCGAUCAGUCAGGGGUGAAAUCCCAGAGCUCAACUCUGGAACUGCCUUUGAUACUGUCGAUCUGGAGUAUGGAAGAGGUGAGUGGAAUUCCGAGUGUAGAGGUGAAAUUCGUAGA